UGCCAGCAGCCGCGGUAAUACGAACUGUGCAAACGUUAUUCGGAAUCACUGGGCUUAAAGGGUACGUAGGCGGGUUUGUAGGUCAGAUGUGAAAGCCCACGGCUCAACCGUGGAAUUGCGUUUGAAACCACAAGCCUUGAGGGAGACAGAGGUAAGCGGAACUGAUGGUGGAGCGGUGAAAUGCGUUGAUAUUAUCAGGAACACCGGUGGCGAAAGCGGCUUACUGGGUCUCUUCUGACGCUGAGGUACGAAAGCUAGGGGAGCGAACGGGAUUAGAUA
rnacentral:rRNA from 1 species